CGGUGUAGGUACAAGCGGAGUCCCAAUUCCGAAAAGCAGAGAAUAAAGAGAGAAAAUGAGGCCACAGAUCGUGUUAUUUGGCGAUUCAAUAACGCAGCAGUCUUUUAGAUCAGGUGGUUGGGGUGCUUCUCUUGCCGACACUUACUCCCGCAAGGCCGAUGUGGUGGUUCGUGGCUAUGGUGGUUACAACACUCGAUGGGCUCUGUUCUUGUUGCAUCACCUUUUUCCUCUUGACUCCUCAAAACCUCCGGUUGCUGUCACAAUAUUCUUUGGGGCUAA
rnacentral:misc_RNA from 1 species